AUAACUAGUAAUCGGUGUUAAUUGGAUGCAAGCUUUUGUCAACUUUUUUGCAUAUUUCUCAUAUUGUACCAAAGCUGAGUUAAUUUCCGUAAGGACGUUUUUGAAAAUAGGCAAAACAAAAGAAGAAUGCAUGUCUUAAACGGUAGAGGAAGGAUUUUAGUAAACUUUAUUCAGAAUUUAUGCAAGAUUGUCAUCAAGGAGCGAAAGGACAACUGGAUCCUCUCCUCAGAAUACUUGUAACCGGCGUUCCCGAAAGCGAAGGUACACAAGGCAUUCCACCAAGCAUAUAAAAUGUUUUAUACAUGCAUGUUGCAACAUAUGGCGGACAGCGAGAUCGGCAAACGCAUACAGUCAACUGUGGCGGCGCAGUUUGACUUUUUCUCGCAAAAAGGUUCCUGCGGAACCGGCAGUAGGCCAAAAAACCCUUCACAAUUUCGAAAGGAAAACAAUACAUGAAACAUUAAAAAUUUGAUGCAAAGAGCGUGAUUUGCCUGUAAAAAUGGUGUUAGCGUUGUAAACAAUGAAUUGAAAAAUAUAUUUUUUUAAAUAUUUUUAUUUGAAAUAUUAUAUUAUAAUAUGCGU